UAUGAGGUGGAUUGGAUGAGUUGGGGCUGCUGGAGCAUGCUAAAGAAUAGAUGGUAGGGUGUAGGGAGAAGGGAACUGGUGGAGUUGGGCGGCUGGCAGCUGGGCUGUUUCAGCCACACGCCUGCCCCCUUCUUUUUUUUUUUUCUUUUUUUUUUUUUUUUUUUUCUUCUUUGCUUCCUUGUUGGCUGAUGGUGUUAAACAAAAGAAUGUGUUGCAUUUGAUGUGUAGUAAUGUGGGAUAUGGCUAAAGUAAAGCUCUUGCCUUUUGGUAAUUCUAAACUUGUAAUAUAGCAACACCCUUAAUGAAAUACUAGUCUUGGAUUCUCACUAAUGUAGCGUAUAUAUAUAUACUCGCACGAUAACUGAUUUCUCGCUUGCUAGCCUUGAUGGACUGUAAAAUAAAUCUAAAUUAAAUCCGUA
rnacentral:lncRNA from 1 species